rnacentral:tRNA from 1 species
GCUGCAUUGGCCAAGCGGUACGGCGUCCGUUUCCUAAGCGGAAGAUCGCGGGUUCGACCCCCGCAUGCGGUU